GAUGAACGCUGGCGGCGUGCCUAAUACAUGCAAGUCGAGCGAACAGACGAGGAGCUUGCUCCUCUGACGUUAGCGGCGGACGGGUGAGUAACACGUGGAUAACCUACCUAUAAGACUGGGAUAACUUCGGGAAACCGGAGCUAAUACCGGAUAAUAUAUUGAACCGCAUGGUUCAAUAGUGAAAGACGGUUUUGCUGUCACUUAUAGAUGGAUCCGCGCCGCAUUAGCUAGUUGGUAAGGUAACGGCUUACCAAGGCAACGAUGCGUAGCCGACCUGAGAGGGUGACCGGCCACACUGGAACUGAGACACGGUCCAGACUCCUACGGGAGGCAGCAGUAGGGAAUCUUCCGCAAUGGGCGAAAGCCUGACGGAGCAACGCCGCGUGAGUGAUGAAGGUCUUCGGAUCGUAAAACUCUGUUAUUAGGGAAGAACAAAUGUGUAAGUAUCUAUGCACGUCUUGACGGUACCUAAUCAGAAAGCCACGGCUAACUACGUG
rnacentral:rRNA from 1 species